rnacentral:rRNA from 1 species
GUAUCCUUUGCGGAGGCAGCAGUGGGGAAUAUUGCGCAAUGGGCGAAAGCCUGACGCAGUGACGCCGCGUGGGGGAUGACGACCUUCGGGUUGUAAACCUCUUUCAGCAGGGACGAAGUUGACCUGUACCUGCAGAAGAAGCCCCGGCUAACUAUGUGCCAGCAGCCGCGGUAAUACGUAGGGCGCAAGCGUUGUCCGGAAUUAUUGGGCGUAAAGAGCUCGUAGGUGGCUUGUUGAGUCUGCCGUGAAAUCUCGCGGCUUAACCCCGGGUCUGCGUUGGAUACGGGCUGGCUAGAGUUAGGUAGGGGAAUGCGGAAUUCCUGGUGUAGCGGUGAAAUGCGCAGAUAUCUGGAGGAACCCCGGUGGCGAAGGCGGUUUCCUGGGCCUUACCUGACGCUGAGGAGCGAAAGCCUGGGGAGCGAACAGGAUUAGAUACCCCGGUAGUCCCCGCCGUAAACGUUGGGCGCUAGGUGUGGGGAUUUCCACGCCUCCGUGCCGAGCUAACGCAUUAAGCUCUCCGCCUGGGAGU